rnacentral:tRNA from 1 species
GGGAAUGUGGCUUAGUGGUAGAGUGCUUGCCCAGCAAGCAUGAAGCCCUGGGUUUGAUUCCUCAGUCCCA